GAACAAGCCGCCCCAACUGAAGUCAUCAGCCAUGGGGCACCACUUCUCCAGCCUCCGCCUUCUGACUUGGUCAGCAGCCAAGGCGAAGCGCUUGUUCAGCCUGCCCCUGCUGACGUGGUCAGCAGCCAAGGCGGACUGCCCACUCUGCAGCCUGUGCCACCAGCAUCCAUUGAUUUGACGGAGGAAGUACAGCCCGCAGAGGAGAAUAUGGAGAUUGUCGAUCCGGGAACUUCGGAGGAGCGCAGUGAGGGGUCAGGCACUAACGGUGCCGUCGGAGCGGCUCCAUCAGUUUCAAUGAACUACUUCAUCAGCGGGCUGCAGAGGCUUCAUACCAUGCUGGAGUUGCUGAGACCUUCAUCGUCACAGUCAGACCACAGUGCGGGGGGGCCAAUAAGAAGGAGGAGAAGAACAGGAUUCGUUUCGAGGGCAAGAACUGGAGGGUCUCAGAGGCUAAACAAUGCCAGCAGUCUCCCCAGAAGCCCAUCGUUCUACCCACUGUGGAAGAUGAGGAAGGGGAAACUUGCACGAUCUGUUUGGAACAGUGGACCAGUGCUGGGGACCACCGGCUCUCAGCUUUACGCUGCGGGCACCUCUUUGGAUAUAGAUGCAUUUUUAAAUGGCUCAAAGGACAAACACGAAAAUGUCCUCAGUGCAACAAGAAAGCCAAGCACAGUGACAUCGUUGUCCUUUAUGCCCGGUCCCUGAGAGCUUUGGACACUACUGAACAGGAGCGCAUGAAGAGGUGAGUGAGGGUUGGCAACAUAGCUCAGAGGAUGAGGGCAAUGGCUCACCCCCAAGCCCUGCAGAGCAGAUCGAAUUCC
rnacentral:lncRNA from 1 species